rnacentral:rRNA from 1 species
GACGAACCGUGCGAACGUUAUUCGGAUUCACUGGGCUUAAAGGGCGCGUAGGCGGCUCAGCAAGUCGGGGGUGAAAUCUUUCAGCUCAACUGGAAAAUAGCCUCCGAUACUGCUGGACUCGAGGGAGAUAGGGGUGCGCGGAACUUCCGGUGGAGCGGUGAAAUGCGUAGAUAUCGGAAGGAACGCCGGUGGCGAAAGCGGCGGGCUGGACCUGUUCUGACACUGAGGAGCGAAAGCGUGGGGAGCGAUCCGG